rnacentral:lncRNA from 1 species
UCUUCUACCACGACUUCCACGGCGGCAUAGGGAAGAAUAACCAGGAACAUCCAAAGCAGCAAUAAGCUUUGCCGCCUCAUCCGAUUUCACCUUCGAUUUCAGUCGCCAAGCUCGUUGCCCGCCGACAAACUCUUCAACAACUACAAAAUCAAGCCAUUAAACACACACCCAAGGUUUCACUACGAUCAAAACAAGCCCCAAAUAUUUACCGAAAUCCCC